rnacentral:ncRNA from 1 species
UAUACCUAAGUGGUGCGGGCAAAGGAGCAACAUUCAUUUCACAGUUUUUUAAGUCUCCUUUAUAUACUUUGUCCCUAUCUACUAUCUAGCGAAACCACAGCCAAGGGAACGGGCUUGGGAAAAUCAGCGGGGAAAGAAGACCCUGUUGAGCUGGACUCUAGUCUGACUCUG